rnacentral:rRNA from 1 species
AGCAAUUAUACAGCGAAACUGCGAAUGGCUCAUUAAAUCAGUUAUCGUUUAUUUGAUAGUACCUUACUACUUGGAUAACCGUGGUAAUUCUAGAGCUAAUACAUGCUUACGACCUCGACUUCGGAAGGGGUGUAUUUAUUAGAUAAAAAACCAAUGCCCUUCGGGGCUCUUUGGUGAUUCAUCGUAACUUCUCAGAUCGCAUGGCCUUGCGCCGGCGACGGUUCAUUCAAAUUUCUGCCCUAUCAACUUUCGAUGGUAAGGUAUUGGCUUACCAUGGUUUCGACGGGUAACGGGGAAUUAGGGUUCGAUUCCGGAGAGGGAGCCUGAGAAACGGCUACCACAUCCAAGGAAGGCAGCAGGCGCGCAAAUUACCCAAUCCCGACACGGGGAGGUAGUGACAAUAAAUACUGAUACAGGGCUCUUUUGGGUCUUGUAAUUGGAAUGAGUACAAUUUAAACCCCUUAACGAGGAACAAUUGGAGGGCAAGUCUGGUGCCAGCAGCCGCGGUAAUUCCAGCUCCAAUAGCGUAUAUUAAGUUGUUGCAGUUAAAAAGCUCGUAGUUGAACCUUUGGCCUGGCUGGCAGGUCCGCCUCACCGCGUGCACUUGUCCGGCCGGGCCUUCUCUUCUGGAGAACCGCAUGCCCUUUACUGGGUGUGUUGGGGACCAGGACUUUUACUUUGAAAAAAUUAGAGUGUUCAAAGCAGGCCUUUGCUCGAAUACGUUAGCAUGGAAUAAUAGAAUAGGACGUGCGGUCCUAUUUUGUUGGUUUCUAGGACCGCCGUAAUGAUUAAUAGGGACAGUCGGGGGCAUCAGUAUUCAAUUGUCAGAGGUGAAAUUCUUGGAUUUAUUGAAGACUAAMUACUGCGAAAGCAUUUGCCAAGGAUGUUUUCAUUAAUCAGUGAACGAAAGUUAGGGGAUCGAAGACGAUCAGAUACCGUCGUAGUCUUAACCAUAAACUAUGCCGACUAGGGAUCGGKCRGUGUUUCUAUUUUGACUCGCUCGGCACCUUACGAGAAAUCAAAGUGUUUGGGUUCUGGGGGGAGUAUGGUCGCAAGGCUGAAACUUAAAGGAAUUGACGGAAGA